AGAUUGCUUGAGCCCAGGAGGCAGGAGGUUGCAGUGAGCUGAGAUUGUGCCACUGCACUCCAGCCUGGGUGACAAAG
rnacentral:snRNA from 1 species